UGCGGGGGGGGUGCUUACACAUGCAGUCGAACGAUGAUGCCCAGCUUGCUGGGCGGAUUAGUGGCGAACGGGUGAGUAAUACGUGAGUAACCUGCCCUUGACUCUGGGAUAAGCCUGGGAAACUGGGUCUAAUACUGGAUACUACCUCUUGCCGCAUGGUGGGUGGUGGAAAGGGUUUUACUGGUUUUGGAUGGGCUCACGGCCUAUCAGCUUGUUGGUGGGGUAAUGGCUCACCAAGGCGACGACGGGUAGCCGGCCUGAGAGGGUGACCGGCCACACUGGGACUGAGACACGGCCCAGACUCCUACGGGAGGCAGCAGUGGGGAAUAUUGCACAAUGGGCGGAAGCCUGAUGCAGCGACGCCGCGUGAGGGAUGACGGCCUUCGGGUUGUAAACCUCUUUCAGUAGGGAAGAAGCGAGAGUGACGGUACCUGCAGAAGAAGCGCCGGCUAACUACGUGCCAGCAGCCGCGGUAAUACGUAGGGCGCAAGCGUUGUCCGGAAUUAUUGGGCGUAAAGAGCUCGUAGGCGGUUUGUCGCGUCUGCUGUGAAAGCCCGGGGCUCAACCCCGGGUCUGCAGUGGGUACGGGCAGACUAGAGUGCAGUAGGGGAGACUGGAAUUCCUGGUGUAGCGGUGAAAUGCGCAGAUAUCAGGAGGAACACCGAUGGCGAAGGCAGGUCUCUGGGCUGUUACUGACGCUGAGGAGCGAAAGCAUGGGGAGCGAACAGGAUUAGAUACCCUGGUAGUCCAUGCCGUAAACGUUGGGCACUAGGUGUGGGGGACAUUCCACGUUUUCCGCGCCGUAGCUAACGCAUUAAGUGCCCCGCCUGGGGAGUACGGCCGCAAGGCUAAAACUCAAAGGAAUUGACGGGGGCCCGCACAAGCGGCGGAGCAUGCGGAUUAAUUCGAUGCAACGCGAAGAACCUUACCAAGGCUUGACAUUCACCGGACCGCCCCAGAGAUGGGGUUUCCCUUCGGGGCUGGUGGACAGGUGGUGCAUGGUUGUCGUCAGCUCGUGUCGUGAGAUGUUGGGUUAAGUCCCGCAACGAGCGCAACCCUCGUUCUAUGUUGCCAGCACGUGAUGGUGGGGACUCAUAGGAGACUGCCGGGGUCAACUCGGAGGAAGGUGGGGAUGACGUCAAAUCAUCAUGCCCCUUAUGUCUUGGGCUUCACGCAUGCUACAAUGGCCGGUACAAAGGGUUGCGAUACUGUGAGGUGGAGCUAAUCCCAAAAAGCCGGUCUCAGUUCGGAUUGAGGUCUGCAACUCGACCUCAUGAAGUCGGAGUCGCUAGUAAUCGCAGAUCAGCAACGCUGCCUUAAUGGCCC
rnacentral:rRNA from 1 species